GUUGCAUCUAGAGGCAUGGUAGAUGAGGCUACUGCAUCACAUGUGUGUCAGUAGGUAGUUGAGAGGGGAGAGGCUACACUUGUAUGCUCAGUGUUCUGACCUAUGAACAUCUGAAUAAUUAGUAGACUAACAUU